rnacentral:rRNA from 1 species
CACCGCGGUUAUACGAGGGGCCCGAGCUGACAACCCCCGGCGUACAGCGUGGUUAAUAAAUUUAAAACUAGAGCCAAACACCUUCAAAGCUGUCAAACGCGCUCGAAGGUAGGAAGAACCUUAACGAAAGUGGCUUUAAACUUAUGAACCCACGAAAGCUAGAAAA